CUUUCCCCGUUUUAUCCCCGUACCAGAAAAGGAUACAUUUAGUGCCUCCCACCCAGCUCCACUAAACGGGUUGGAUAUCUCAUUCUUUGAGUCGGGGUUCCUUCCCCGGCGCCCCCAUGUAGCUGGGAAGUGGGACCUGGGGGUGGUUGGACCCCUGGGAUCCUAAAGGAGGGGCAGGGAGGGCGCAGAACUCCGCUUCUGCCCCUUUGUACCAGGACGCGCGGCCUCCUCAGCCUCUUUCCUCCCGCUGCCAUGCACCCUGCAGCCUUCCCGCUUCCUGUGGUUGUGGCCGCUGUGCUGUGGGGAGCGGCCCCGACCCGGGGGCUCAUUCGAGCGACCUCGGACCACAAUGCCAGCAUGGACUUUGCAGACCUUCCAGCUCUGUUUGGGGCUACCUUGAGCCAGGAGGGCCUCCAGGGGUUCCUUGUGGAGGCUCACCCAGACAAUGCCUGCAGCCCCAUUGCCCCACCACCCCCAGCCCCGGUCAAUGGGUCAGUCUUUAUUGCGCUGCUUCGAAGAUUCGACUGCAACUUUGACCUCAAGGUCCUAAAUGCCCAGAAGGCUGGAUAUGGUGCCGCUGUAGUACACAAUGUGAAUUCCAAUGAACUUCUGAACAUGGUGUGGAAUAGUGAGGAAAUCCAGCAGCAGAUCUGGAUCCCGUCUGUAUUUAUUGGGGAGAGAAGCUCCGAGUACCUGCGUGCCCUCUUUGUCUACGAGAAGGGGAGACCAGUAUGAUGUCUGUGCCAUUUGCCUGGAUGAAUAUGAG
rnacentral:sRNA from 1 species